rnacentral:rRNA from 1 species
UACAGAGGUCUCAACCGUUGUUCGGAUUCAUUGGGCGUAAAGGGUGCGUAGGCGGUCGCGCAAGUCGGAUGUGAAAUCUCGGGGCUCAACCCCGAAACUGCAUUCGAUACUGCGUGGCUAGAGUGCUGGAGGGGAGACUGGAAUUUACGGUGUAGCAGUGAAAUGCGUAGAUAUCGUAAGGAACACCAGUGGCGAAGGCGAGUCUCUGGACAGCAACUGACGCUGAGGCACGAA